CCAUGCACGUGUAAGUUCACAUCUUUUAUGGUGAAACCGCGAAUGGCUCAUUACAACAGCUAUAAUUUACUUGAUGUUGACUUUCCUACUUGGAUAACUGCGGUAAUUCUGGAGCUAAUACAUGCAUCAAAGCUCUGACACCCUCGGAGCGCAUUUAUUAGAACAAAACCAAUCGGCUUCGGCCGUUUGUUGUUGACUCUGAAUAACUUAGCUGAUCGCAUGGUCUUGUACCGGCGACAUAUCUUUCAAGUAUCUGCCUUAUCAACUUUCGAUGGUAGUUUAUGUGCCUACCAUGGUUGCAACGGGUAACGGAAAAUAAGGGUUUGAUUCCGGAGAGGGAGCCUGAGAAACGGCUACCACAUCUAAGGAAGGGCAGCAGGGCGCGCAAAUUACCCCACUGGAGGUGCUCCGAGGUAGUGACUAACAAUAACGAGACCGUCUUCUAUGAGGCCGGUUAUCGGAAUGGGUACAAUUUAAACCCUUUAACGAGGAUCUAUGAGAGGGCAAGUCUGGUGCCAGCAGCCGCGGUAAUUCCAGCUCUCAAGGUGUAUAUCCCUAUUGCUGCGGUUAAAAAGCUCGUAGUUGGAUCUCCGCCUCAGGACGUGGUCCGCCUUUAGGUGUGUACUGCGAUCCUAGGCAGUUACUGCUGGUUUUCAGCCGGUGGCCUUAACUGGUUGCCGGUUGUGGCUAGCGAGUUUACCUUGAGUAAAUCAGAUUGCUCAAGAAAGGCGUUUCGCCUGAAUGUUUGUGCAUGGAAUAAUGGAAUAGGACUUCGGUUCUGUUUUGUUGGUUUUCUGAACUGAAGUAAUGAUUAAGAGGAACAGACGGGGGCAUUCGUAUCGCUGCGUGAGAGGUGAAAUUCUUGGACCGCAGCGGGACGCCCAACAGCGAAAGCAUUUGCCAAGAAUGUUUUCAUUAAUCAAGAACGAAAGUCAGAGGAUCGAAGGCGAUUAGAUACCGCCCUAGUUCUGACCGUAAACGAUACCAACUAGCGAUCCGCCGGUGGUAAUUACGCCCUGGCGGGGAGCUUCCCGGAAACGAAAGUCUUCCGGUUCCGGGGGAAGUAUGGUUGCAAAGCUGAAACUU
rnacentral:rRNA from 1 species